rnacentral:rRNA from 1 species
UACGAAGGGGGCUAGCGUUGCUCGGAAUCAUUGGGCGUAAAGGGUGCGUAGGCGGCGCGGUAAGUCGGGCGUGAAAUCUCGGAGCUUAACUCCGAAACUGCAUUCGAUACUGCCGUGCUUGAGGACUGGAGAGGAGACUGGAAUUUACGGUGUAGCGGUGAAAUGCGUAGAUAUCGUAAGGAAGACCAGUGGCGAAGGCGGGUCUCUGGACAGUUCCUGACGCUGAGGCACGAAGGUCAGGGGAGCAAACGGG